rnacentral:rRNA from 1 species
GACGAACGCUGGCGGCGUGCUUAACACAUGCAAGUCGAACGGUGAAGGGGUCUGCUUUUGUGGGCCCUGGAUGAGUGGCGAACAGGUGAGUAACACGUGAGUAACCUGCCCCCUUCUUCUGGAUAACCGCAUGAAAGUGUGGCUAAUACGGGAUAUUCUGGGUCUGUCGCAUGAUGGGUCUGGGAAAGAUUGCGCCUUUGGGUGUUUUUGGUGGGGGAUGGGCUCGCGGCCUAUCAGCUUGUUGGUGGGGUGAUGGCCUACCAAGGCGGUGACGGGUAGCCGGCCUGAGAGGGUGGACGGUCACACUGGGACUGAGACACGGCCCAGACUCCUACGGGAGGCAGCAGUGGGGAAUAUUGCACAAUGGGCGCAAGCCUGAUGCAGCGACGCCGCGUGAGGGAUGGAGGCCUUCGGGUUGUAAACCUCUUUCGCCAGUGAAGCAGGCCUGCUCCUUGUGGGUGGGUUGACGGUAGCUGGAUAAGAAGCGCCGGCUAACUACGUG